GAUGAACGCUGGCGGCGUGCCUAAUACAUGCAAGUCGAGCGAACAGACGAGGAGCUUGCUCCUCUGACGUUAGCGGCGGACGGGUGAGUAACACGUGGAUAACCUACCUAUAAGACUGGGAUAACUUCGGGAAACCGGAGCUAAUACCGGAUAAUAUAUUGAACCGCAUGGUUCAAUAGUGAAAGACGGUUUUGCUGUCACUUAUAGAUGGAUCCGCGCCGCAUUAGCUAGUUGGUAAGGUAACGGCUUACCAAGGCAACGAUGCGUAGCCGACCUGAGAGGGUGAUCGGCCACACUGGAACUGAGACAGGGUCAAGACUCCUAAGGGAGGCAGCAGUAGGGAAUCUUCCGCAAUGGGCGAAAGCCUGACGGAGCAACGACGCGUGAGUGAUGAAGGUCUUCGGAUCGUAAAACUCUGUUAUUAGGGAAGAACAAAUGUGUAAGUAACUAUGCACGUCUUGACGGUACCUAAUCAGAAAGCCACGGCUAACUACGUG
rnacentral:rRNA from 1 species